UACGCCCUUAGUUUCGCAUUUUUGCCCCCCAAUGGCUCCUUGCGCUCUUUCUCGUUUCCUUGGAGUUGAGGAGCUAAUGAUCCAAGUUCCGCAGCUAAUUUGUCAAACAGUUACGGCGCGCCACUUGUGAAAUUGCCUGUAAAAUUUAUUUCGCGUAGCAGAGAUUUCGAUUUCAGUUUUCUCAAGAAACUUGCAAGGAGAUAUUAAUCAGGUAGGGAUUGGGAAUGGACAGCGACGAGGAGGAUUUCGUCUUCUUCGGAAAGCCUAUAGAGCGAGAGGAAGACGUCUCCAGCCGGAAGAAGAAGGCCGUCGCUGAGGCCUCCGGCCAAUUGCGCAGCCUUCCAGUUUGGAAGCAAGAGGUCACGGAUGAAGAGGGUAGAAGGAGAUUUCAUGGUGCAUUUACUGGUGGUUAUUCUGCAGGAUAUUACAAUACAGUUGGCUCAAAAGAAGGAUGGACUCCACAGUCAUUUACAUCGUCUCGGAAAAGCAGAGCUGAAAUCAAGCAGCAGAGUAUUUAUAACUUUUUGGAUGAUGAUGAGAAAGAUGAAAUGGAGGGCCACCUUGGGACUUCGUCACAGUACGAUACAUUUGGAUUUACUGCUGCUGAACGUGCUCGUAAACAAGCUGAACAGGAGCAAAAGCAGAGGCCAUCAGUUAUUCCCGGACCUGUUCCUGAUGAGCUAGUAGUUUCAGCACCUGAGUCCAUUGGAGCAAAGUUGCUGCUGAAGAUGGGAUGGCGGCAUGGUCGUUCAGUCAAGGACUCGAAUGCUGAUUCACUCUAUGAGGCUCGCAGAGUAGCAAGGAAAGCCUUUUUGGCACUUUCCUCUAAUGAUGCAAAAGGUCAACAUGUGGGUUCUGAACAGUUUGAACAUGAUAUCCAUCCCAUUGAUCUGCCAGCUGAUGAUGAUAGUCAGUUCUUUAAGAGCACACCGAAUUUUGUUCUUAGUCCAAAACAAGACCUGCAUGGCUUAGGCUAUGAUCCAUUCAAACAUGCUCCUGAAUUUAGAGAAAAGAAGAGGUCACGUGUAUCUGGGAAGAAGGACAUUGGACGUCAAGGGCCCCUCUCAAUGAAGGAUAGUCUCUUUGGUUUUAAAUCUGGAAGGGUUGCUCCUGGCUUUGGAAUUGGGGCUCUUGAGGAAUUGGAUGUUGAAGAUGAAGAUGUGUAUACCUCAGGUUUUGAAAUCGAAGGUUCAUAUGUUGAAGAAGUUGAGGAGCCUCCAUUACCAACAAAGGAGAAUGUAAAGAUGUUGGAUAAUAAAAAACAUGAUGUUCUGCCUGGUUUUAAGGCUGCCUCGAAUUCUGAAUAUCAAUUAGAAAGAUUUGAUCCUCCAGUGGUUCCAAAAGAUUUUGUCCCCUUUCACAAGUUUACAGCUCCUCUUGAAGUCAACAGUAGAGUUGCUGAAUCUCCACCCCCAGAGGUUCCACCUCCAGAGGAUAAGAACCUUAGAAUCUUAAUUGAAGGUUUAGCAAGUUUAGUAGCUCGUGCUGGUAAACUAUUUGAGGAUCUUUCUCGGGAAAAAAAUCAGUCAAACCCUUUGUUUGGUUUCCUUACUGGAGGGAGUGGCCAUGAAUAUUAUUCAAGGAGACUUUGGGAGGAGAGACAGAAGCAUACUGGUCAAACAGGAAAGCAUUUGGAAGGCAAAAUACAACAAAAUUCUCAGAUGACAGCAGAGAGCCGUGGAAAAAUUUUAGGGGAGAAGCCUCUAGAAAGAAGCUUGAGAGAGGCGAGCUCCACUGUAACUCCUGCUGAUGCCAUCAAUUUCCAGUCCAGUCUCAAGGAAACAUUUACUAAGUCUUCCCCAAUGACUGAGAUGCCUGAAGCUGGAAAACCUUUCCGAGAUGAUCCUGCAAAACAAGAAAGAUUUGAACAGUUCUUGAAGGAGAAAUAUCAAGGAGGUCUUCGCCCUAAAGAUUCAGGAGGAUCUAGUACAUUGUCAGAAGCGGCUCGUGCUCGUGAAAGGUUAGAAUUUGAGGCUGUCGCUGAGGCUAUACAGAAAGGGAAAUGGGGGACAGAAAGCAAACCCCCAAAUGAGUUGUUUUCAGAUACACUAGCUGUAGCAGCGUCCAGAUUCACUUCUAGCACAGUCGAGAACACUAAAGUUGAUCGUGAUGAGGAAUUAACUAAAAAGAAAUUGUAUCCUAAAAGGGAAGAGUUUCAGUGGCGUCCUUCACCUAUUCUGUGCAAGCGUUUUGAUCUAAUUGACCCCUACAUGGGCAAGCCACCACCAGCUCCACGUGCAAGGAGUAAAAUGGAUUCUCUUAUAUUCAUGACAGAUUCUGUUAAAAGUGCUAAGGUGGAGGAGUUUGUUACUGAUAGUAGACUAUUUUCUGUUCCUGAGGCCAGUCAAGAGGAAAUAAGAACUCAAAAAGAGAUUGAGGCUGAGAUAGAAGUUGAAAAUGUUGAAAGGCCUGUUGACUUAUACAAGGCUAUAUUUUCUGAUGAUUCAGAUGAUGAGGAAAUUAUGAAUCACACCCAAGCGAAGGAUCCUGAGAAGAAGGUUGAGGCUGCUAAUACAACUCUAAAUCGAAUAAUUGCUGGUGACUUCUUAGAAUCAUUGGGUAAAGAGUUAGGCCUAGAAGUUCCCCCAGAUGUACCUUUCCCAGAAACCAAAGCUAGCACUACAGACAAGGGGACCUUCAAUGCAGAAAGAGCCAUUGGGAAUAAAACAUCUUCUGCUGAUAAUGCUAGAAAUGUUGAAGCAAUGCCGGAUAAACCUCAUCUGCAGGAGAUCCUUCAAGGGGAUAGGUUGAAGUCAGGAGGAGGAACAGUGGAUUUCAUAUCUCGUAGGAAUGAUAGCCGAACAGUUAGUUCUGGGUACUAUGGGAGCGACAUGAACAGAAAUAUUCCACAAAAGGAAAAAGGUCAAACUGAUAUAAACACAAAAUCUGAAGCUAGUCAGCGUGAUGAUUGGAGCAGUAAUUCGUCAGAGGAAAACAGAAGUAGAAAACGCAAGCAUAAUCGGCAGAGAACAAGUGACAGUUCAGAUAGUGAUUCAUCUGACGACUAUAGAGAUCGGGGUCAUGAAAAAUCUAAAAGAGAAAAGAAUCGAUCAUCAAGGCAUAGAAGUAGUAGCAAGAGACACUCAAAGCAUCGGAGGCGGGGCUCUCCCAGCAGCAGAUCUUCUCAUCAUCAUUCUGGGAAAGAACGUGGAGAAUCCCGAAGGACGAAACACAAACAUAAAGAGUAGGGGAAGUGGGGUUUAUAUUGCCAGAGUGCUGUGUGAUCAGAGGGUUCCCCAUUGAAGGUCCUAUAGCAGUAUCUGCUCUUCAACAGCAGAUCAGUCCAUUUUGGGUGGUGGAUUGCAAGUGAUGUGGGCGGUUAGACUUACAAGUUACAAACUUGCUCCUAACAGGACAGUGAAAAAGUAAAAGGUCCGUCGUGAAUGCUAUUCAAUCUUCAUCAGCACUAUGGAUGAAUACAAUAUAUACUACUACCUAUUCCUGACUGCCAUAAACUUUUCGAACUAGUUUAUUUCAUUUUUGCCUUUUGACUGUAAUGACAGUUUUACAUUUUCUUUUUAGUA